UACGUAGGGGGCAAGCGUUGUCCGGAAUUAUUGGGCGUAAAGCGCGCGCAGGCGGUCCUUUAAGUCUGAUGUGAAAGCCCACGGCUUAACCGUGGAGGGUCAUUGGAAACUGAGGGACUUGAGUACAGAAGAGGAGAGUGGAAUUCCACGUGUAGCGGUGAAAUGCGUAGAGAUGUGGAGGAACACCAGUGGCGAAGACGACUCUCUGGUCUGUAACUGACGCUGAGGUGCGAAAGCGUGGGUAGCAAACAGGAUUAGAUACCCUGGUA
rnacentral:rRNA from 1 species